rnacentral:lncRNA from 1 species
GUGAAUUAAAAUGUUCACUUUAUUCCUGAAACCCAGGCUGGCUGCUCUAAGUUGAUCUGGUGCCUUGGUCACUCGUGGCUUCUUUCUUCUAUGCCAGCUCUGUCUUCUCUACACUUCCUCUGGAGGAGAAGGCCUUGACACAAUUACAAGAAGUCAGGGACCCUGAACAGAGGGACCAGCUGAAGCCACAGCAGAAGCACAUAAAUUGUGAAGAUUUCAUGGACAUUUAUUAGUUCCCCAAAUUAAUACUUUUAUAAUUUCUUAUGCCUGUCUUUACUGCAAUCUCUGAACAUAAAUUGUGAAGAUUUCAUGGACAUUUAUCACUUCCCCAAUCAAUACUCUUAUAAUUUCCUAUGCCUGUCUUUAAUCUCUUAAUCCCAUCAUCUUCCUAAACUGAGGAUGUAUGUUGCCUCAGGACCCCGUGAUGAUUGCAUUAUCUGCACAAGUUGCUUGUAAAGCAUGUGUGUUUGAACAAUAUGAAAUCUGGGCACCUUGAAAGGAACAGGAUAACAGUGAUUUUCAGAGAACAAGGGAGAUAACCAUAAGGUCUGACUGCCUGCAGGACCGGGCAGAACAGAGUCGUAUUUCUCUUUUUACAGAAAGCGAAUAGGAGAAAUAUUGCGAAUUCUUUUCUCAGCAAGAAAUAGCCCUGGGAAAGGAAAGCAUUCCCAGGGGGAGGUCUCUAAAAUGGCUGCUCUGGGAGUGUCUGUCUUACGUGGUU